rnacentral:rRNA from 1 species
GGGGAAUAUUGCGCAAUGGGGGGAACCCUGACGCAGCAACGCCGCGUGAAGGAUGAAGGCCUUCGGGUUGUAAACUUCUUUGAUUGGGGAAGAAAUUUGACGGUACCCAAAGAACAAGCCACGGCUAACUACGUGCCAGCAGCCGCGGUAAUACGUAGGUGGCGAGCGUUGUCCGGAAUUACUGGGUGUAAAGGGCGUGUAGGCGGGGAUGCAAGUCAGAUGUGAAAUUCCGGGGCUCAACCCCGGCACUGCAUCUGAAACUGUGUCUCUUGAGUGCUGGAGAGGAAAGUGGAAUUCCUAGUGUAGCGGUGAAAUGCGUAGAGAUUAGGAGGAACACCAGUGGCGAAGGCGACUUUCUGGACAGUAACUGACGCUGAGGCGCGAGAGCGUGGGGAGCAAAC